rnacentral:rRNA from 1 species
GGAAGGUGCAAGCGUUAAUCGGAAUUACUGGGGCGUAAAGCGCGCGUAGGCGGCUAGAUAAGUCGGGUGUGAAAGCCCUGGGGCUCAACCUGGGAACUGCAUUCGAUACUGUCUAGCUAGAGUGUGGUAGAGGGAGGCGGAAUUCCGCAUGUAGCGGUGAAAUGCGUAGAGAUGCGGAGGAACACCAAUGGCGAAGGCAGCCUUCUGGACCAACACUGACGCUGAGGCGCGAAAGCGUGGGGAGCAAACAGGAUUAGAUACCCUGGUAGUCCACGCCGUAAACGAUGUCAACUAGCCGUUGGGAGCAUUUUGGCUCUUGGUGGCGCAGCUAACGCGAUAAGUUGACCGCCUGGGGAGUACGGUCGCAAGAUUA